GAUGAAGAACGCAGCGAAAUGCGAUAAGUAGUGUGAAUUGCAGAAUUCAGUGAAUCAUCGAAUCUUUGAACGCACAUUGCGCCCCUUGGUAUUCCAUGGGGCAUGCCUGUUCGAGCGUCAUUUGUACCUUCAAGCUCUGCUUGGUGUUGGGUGUUUGUCUCGCCUCUGUGUGUAGACUCGCCUCAAAACAAUUGGCAGCCGGCGUAUUGAUUUCGGAGCGCAGUACAUCUCGCGCUUUGCACUCAUAACGACGACGUCCAAAAGUACAUUUUUACACUCUUGACCUCGAAUCAGGUAGGGAUACCCGCUGAACUUAAGCAUAUCAAUAAGCGGAGGA
rnacentral:misc_RNA from 1 species